UACGGGGGGGGCAAGCGUUGUUCUGAAUUACUGGGCGUAAAGGGCGCGUAGGCGGCCUUCUAAGUCGAACGUGAAAUCCCCGGGCUCAACCCGGGAACUGCGUCCGAUACUGGAAGGCUUGAAUCCGGGAGAGGGAUGCGGAAUUCCAGGUGUAGCGGUGAAAUGCGUAGAUAUCUGGAGGAACACCGGUGGCGAAGGCGGCAUCCUGGACCGGCAUUGACGCUGAGGCGCGAAAGCCAGGGGAGCAAACGGG
rnacentral:rRNA from 1 species